UACAGAGGUCCCAAGCGUUGUUCGGAUUCAUUGGGCGUAAAGGGUGCGUAGGUGGCAGUGUAAGUUGGGCGUGAAAUCCUGGGGCUUAACCUCAGAAUUGCGUUCAAUACUGCAUUGCUAGGGCGCUGUAGAGGAGAUUGGAAUUUACGGUGUAGCAGUGAAAUGCGUAGAUAUCGUAAGGAAGACCAGUGGCGAAAGCGAAUCUCUGGGCAGCAGCCGACGCUGAGGCACGAAGGCCAGGGGAGCAAACGGG
rnacentral:rRNA from 1 species